rnacentral:rRNA from 1 species
GACGAACGCUGGCGGCGUGCCUAAUACAUGCAAGUAGAACGCUGAAGAGAGGAGCUUGCUCUUCUUGGGUGAGUGGCGAACGGGUGAGUAACGCGUAGGUAACCUGCCUUGUAGCGGGGGAUAACUACUGGAAACGAUAGCUAAUACCGCAUAACAUAGGAUGACACAUGUCAUUUAAGUGAAAGGGGCAAUUGCUCCACUACAAGAUGGACCUGCGUUGUAUUAGCUAGUAUGUGAGGUAAUGGCUCACCUAGGCGACGGUACAUAGCCGACCUGGGAGGGUGGUCGGCCACCCUGGGACUGAGACCCGGCCCAGACUCCUACGGGAGGCAGCAGUAGGGAAUCUUCGGCAAUGGGGGCAACCCUUACCGAGCCACGCCGCGUUAGUUAAGGAGGUUUUCGGAUCGUAAAGCUCUGUUGUAAGUCAAGAACGGGUGUGGGAGUUGAAAGUUCACGCUGUGACGGUAGCUUACCAGAAAGGCACGGCUAACUACGUG